rnacentral:ncRNA from 1 species
UGGUUUCCCAUAAAGGAGAGUAUCCGGGAAAUAAUAGGGAACGUAGUAGGGCUGGAGAGAUUUUUUAGGCCUGAUCUGCGGCUGUACCCGCAACUGUGAGCGGUAAGGCAACUACCACUAAACGCCACUCGGGACCACCCGGGGAAGGUUGGUAGAAGCCUGGGACCCGCGAGCCAGGAGACCUGCCAGGGAAU